UACGAAGGGUGCAAGCGUUACUCGGAAUUACUGGGCGUAAAGCGUGCGUAGGUGGUGAGUUAAGUCUGAUGUGAAAUCCCCGGGCUCAACCUGGGAAUGGCAUUGGAUACUGGCUCGCUGGAGUGCGGUAGAGGGUGGUGGAAUUCCCGGUGUAGCAGUGAAAUGCGUAGAGAUGUGGAGGAAUACCGAUGGCGAAGGCAGCCCCCUGGGACAAUACUGACGCUCAUGCACGAAAGCGUGGGGAGCAAACAGG
rnacentral:rRNA from 1 species